rnacentral:tRNA from 1 species
GCCUUCGUGGUGUAGCGGUCAGCACGCUCGACGAACAUUCGAGAGGCCCGUGGUUCGAGUCCCGGCUAGGGCA